GUCCUUGUCGAUUAGUGGUUAAAUCAUCUCGUUGUGGUGGCAGAAACAAAUAUUACUCCGAGAAGCCGGAAGUUCGAAUCCUCCCUGGGACA
rnacentral:tRNA from 1 species